UACGUAGGGGGCAAGCGUUGUCCGGAUUCAUUGGGCGUAAAGAGCGUGUAGGCGGCCAGGUAGGUCGGUUGUGAAAACUGGAGGCUCAACCUUCAGACGUCGACCGAAACCAUCUGGCUAGAGUCCGGGAGAGGAGAGUGGAAUUCCUGGUGUAGCGGUGAAAUGCGCAGAUAUCAGGAAGAACACCCGUGGCGAAGGCGGGUCUCUGGACCGAGACUGACGCUGAGGCGCGAAAGCGUGGGGAGCAAACAGG
rnacentral:rRNA from 1 species